rnacentral:rRNA from 1 species
ACUGGAAUGAAUGGCUAAAUGAGGACUUAACUGUCUCUUGCACUUUACUAAUGAAACUGAUCUCUUAGUCCAAAAGCUAAGAUCUCACCACAAGACGAGAAGACCCUGUGGAGCUUAAAACCAAAUUCACAGCCAUGAACCCUUGGUUUUUAGUUGGGGCGACUUCGGAGCACAAAAAACCCUCCGACACGGAAUUUCACCUAAUUAGAUCAACACAUCACUAAUUCAUGACCCAGUAGUCUAUCCUAACUACCUGAUUAAUGAACCAAGUUACCCCAGGGAUAACAGCGCUAUCUCCCUCUAGAGUCCCUAUCGACAGGGGGGUUUACGACCUCGAUGUUGGAUCAAGACCCCCUAAUAGUGCACCCGCUAUUGAAG